rnacentral:piRNA from 1 species
UGAGCAAAAUCCCAGUGAGCACUGAUGAAC